GCGGAAGGCCGGAUGGCCGCGAGGGGUCAGACCCUUCGAGGAAAGUCCGGACUCCACAAAGCAACGGUGCCGGGUAACGCCCGGGCGGGGCAACCCGACGGAAAGCGCCACAGAAAUGAAACUACCUUGCUUGCAGGGUAAAGGUGAAACGGUGGGGUAAAAGCCCACCGCGCCGCUGGCAACAGCGGUGGCACGGCAAGCCCCACCAGGAGCAAUGCCAAAUAGGACCCCCGCGCGGGGCUGGUCCCGUUCGCGGGAUACCGCCCGCAAGGCCCGCUUUGGUCGGGAGGGGUCGGGUUGGCAGCUAAAGGCGUCUGGUAACAGGUGCCGUAGAGGAAUGGUCAUCGACGGGGGCAACCCCUGAACAAAAUCCGGCUUACAGGCCUUCCGCGCAU
rnacentral:RNase_P_RNA from 1 species